GUCAGGAUGGCUAAGUGGUCUAUGACGCCAGACUCAAAUUCUGGUCUACUUGAGAGGGCGUGGAUGUAAAUCCCACUUCUGACA
rnacentral:tRNA from 1 species